rnacentral:rRNA from 1 species
UCCGCAGGCGGGCAAUUAAGUCAGAGGUGAAAUCCCACAGCUCAACUGUGGAACUGCCUUUGAUACUGGUUGUCUUGAGUUAUAGUGAAGUAGAUAGAAUAUGUAGUGUAGCGGUGAAAUGCAUAGAUAUUACAUAGAAUACCGAUUGCGAAGGCAGUCUACUAGCUAUAUACUGACGCUGAUGGACGAAAGCGUGGGGAGCGAACAGGAUUAGAUACCCUGGUAGUCC